rnacentral:rRNA from 2 species
UGCAGUCGAGCGAACUGAUUAGAAGCUUGCUUCUAUGACGUUAGCGGCGGACGGGUGAGUAACACGUGGGCAACCUGCCUGUAAGACUGGGAUAACUUCGGGAAACCGAAGCUAAUACCGGAUAGGAUCUUCUCCUUCAUGGGAGAUGAUUGAAAGAUGGUUUCGGCUAUCACUUACAGAUGGGCCCGCGGUGCAUUAGCUAGUUGGUGAGGUAACGGCUCACCAAGGCAACGAUGCAUAGCCGACCUGAGAGGGUGAUCGGCCACACUGGGACUGAGACACGGCCCAGACUCCUACGGGAGGCAGCAGUAGGGAAUCUUCCGCAAUGGACGAAAGUCUGACGGAGCAACGCCGCGUGAGUGAUGAAGGCUUUCGGGUCGUAAAACUCUGUUGUUAGGGAAGAACAAGUACGAGAGUAACUGCUCGUACCUUGACGGUACCUAACCAGAAAGCCACGGCUAACUACGUGCCAGCAGCCGCGGUAAUACGUAGGUGGCAAGCGUUAUCCGGAAUUAUUGGGCGUAAAGCGCGCGCAGGCGGUUUCUUAAGUCUGAUGUGAAAGCCCACGGCUCAACCGUGGAGGGUCAUUGGAAACUGGGGAACUUGAGUGCAGAAGAGAAAAGCGGAAUUCCACGUGUAGCGGUGAAAUGCGUAGAGAUGUGGAGGAACACCAGUGGCGAAGGCGGCUUUUUGGUCUGUAACUGACGCUGAGGCGCGAAAGCGUGGG